rnacentral:rRNA from 1 species
UACGGGGGGAGCAAGCGUUGUUCGGAUUUACUGGGCGUAAAGGGCGCGUAGGCGGUCAGCACAAGUCAGUUGUGAAAUCUCCGGGCUUAACCCGGAAAGGUCAACUGAUACUGUGCGACUAGAGUGCGGAAGGGGCAACUGGAAUUCUCGGUGUAGCGGUGAAAUGCGUAGAUAUCGAGAGGAACACCUGCGGCGAAGGCGGCGACCUGGGUCGAUACUGACGCUGAUGCGCGAAAGCGUGGGGAGCAAACAGG